rnacentral:rRNA from 1 species
AAAUUGAAGAGUUUGAUCAUGGCUCAGAUUGAACGCUGGCGGCAGGCCUAACACAUGCAAGUCGAACGGUAACAGGAAGCAGCUUGCUGCUUUGCUGACGAGUGGCGGACGGGUGAGUAAUGUCUGGGAAACUGCCUGAUGGAGGGGGAUAACUACUGGAAACGGUGGCUAAUACCGCAUAACGUCGCAAGACCAAAGAGGGGGACCUUCGGGCCUCUUGCCAUCAGAUGUGCCCAGAUGGGAUUAGCUUGUUGGUGAGGUAACGGCUCACCAAGGCGACGAUCCCUAGCUGGUCUGAGAGGAUGACCAGCCACACUGGAACUGAGACACGGUCCAGACUCCUACGGGAGGCAGCAGUGGGGAAUAUUGCACAAUGGGCGCAAGCCUGAUGCAGCCAUGCCGCGUGUAUGAAGAAGGCCUUCGGGUUGUAAAGUACUUUCAGCGGGGAGGAAGGUGUUGUGGUUAAUAACCGCAGCAAUUGACGUUACCCGCAGAAGAAGCACCGGCUAACUCCGUGCCAGCAGCCGCGGUAAUACGGAGGGUGCAAGCGUUAAUCGGAAUUACUGGGCGUAAAGCGCACGCAGGCGGUCUGUCAAGUCGGAUGUGAAAUCCCCGGGCUCAACCUGGGAACUGCAUUCGAAACUGGCAGGCUUGAGUCUUGUAGAGGGGGGUAGAAUUCCAGGUGUAGCGGUGAAAUGCGUAGAGAUCUGGAGGAAUACCGGUGGCGAAGGCGGCCCCCUGGACAAAGACUGACGCUCAGGUGCGAAAGCGUGGGGAGCAAACAGGAUUAGAUACCCUGGUAGUCCACGCCGUAAACGAUGUCUACUUGGAGGUUGUGCCCUUGAGGCGUGGCUUCCGGAGCUAACGCGUUAAGUAGACCGCCUGGGGAGUACGGCCGCAAGGUUAAAACUCAAAUGAAUUGACGGGGGCCCGCACAAGCGGUGGAGCAUGUGGUUUAAUUCGAUGCAACGCGAAGAACCUUACCUGGUCUUGACAUCCACGGAAGUUUCAGAGAUGGAUGUGCCUUCGGGAACCGUGAGACAGGUGCUGCAUGGCUGUCGUCAGCUCGUGUUGUGAAAUGUUGGGUUAAGUCCCGCAACGAGCGCAACCCUUAUCCUUUGUUGCCAGCGAUUCGGUCGGGAACUCAAAGGAGACUGCCAGUGAUAAACUGGAGGAAGGUGGGGAUGACGUCAAGUCAUCAUGGCCCUUACGACCAGGGCUACACACGUGCUACAAUGGCGCAUACAAAGAGAAGCGACCUCGCGAGAGCAAGCGGACCUCAUAAAGUGCGUCGUAGUCCGGAUUGGAGUCUGCAACUCGACUCCAUGAAGUCGGAAUCGCUAGUAAUCGUGGAUCAGAAUGCCACGGUGAAUACGUUCCCGGGCCUUGUACACACCGCCCGUCACACCAUGGGAGUGGGUUGCAAAAGAAGUAGGUAGCUUAACCUUCGGGAGGGCGCUUACCACUUUGUGAUUCAUGACUGGGGUGAAGUCGUAACAAGGUAACCGUAGGGGAACCUGCGGUUGGAUCACCUCCUUACCUUAAAGAA